ACUACUUUCCUUACUCUUCUUGUGGGUUUGGUUCAAUCUGCCCUUAACUGGGUGGAUUGUUUUUACCUCCCGCUCGUUUACUUUGAAAAAAUUAGAGUGUUUAAAGCAGGCGUUUUCCGCCCUGAAUACAUUAGCAUGGGAUAAUAGAAUAGGACUGUCUGUCUAUUCUGUUGGUUUCUAGAUGGAUAGUAAUGAUUAAUAGAGAUGGUUGGGGACAUUUAUAUUCCAUGGUCAGAGGUGAAAUUCUUGGAUUCAUGGAAGAUAAACAAGUGCGAAAGCAUUUGUCAAGGAUGUUUUCAUUAAUCAAGAACGAAAGUUAGGGGAUCGAAGACGAUCAGAUACCGUCGUAGUCUUAACCAUAAACGAUGCGGACCAGGGAUUGGGAGACGUUACGUGGAUGACUCCCCCAGCACCUUGUGAGAAAUCACGAGUCUUUGCGUUCCGGGGGGAGUAUGGUCGCAAGGCUGAAACUUAAAGGAAUUGACGGAAGGGCACCACCAGGAGUGGAGCCUGCGGCUUAAUUUGACCCAACACGGGGAAACUCACCAGGUCCAGACAUAGUAAGGAUUGACAGAUUGAGAGCUCUUUCUUGAUUCUAUGGGUGGUGGUGCAUGGCCGUUCUUAGUUGGUGGAGUGAUUUGUCUGGUUAAUUCCGAUAACGAACGAGACCUCAGCCUGCUAACUAGUGGGUUCAACCUUCUGCAUGGGUGAAUCUUUAAUUGUGUGGGAUCUUUGUAUUUCAUUCAAUUAAAGUGGAUCCUUGACGAGUUGGAUCUCUUAUUUUUUACUUCUUAGAGGGACUAUUCGCGUCUAGCGAGUGGAAGUUUGAGGCAAUAACAGGUCUGUGAUGCCCUUAGAUGUUCUGGGCUGCACGCGCGCUACAAUGACUAUCUCAACAAGUUCUUUUUUAACCUUGGCCGAAAGGUCUGGGUAAUCUUAUGAAAGGUAGUCGUGCUGGGGAUAGACUAUUGUAAUUAUUAGUCUUCAACGAGGAAUUCCUAGUAAGUGCAGGUCAUCAGCCUGCGCUGAUUACGUCCCUGCCCUUUGUACACACCGCCCGUCGCUCCUACCGAUUGAAUGAUCCGGUGAAAUCUUGGGAUUGGGAAGCAUACUUGGGGCAACUCAAGCAACUUACUAAGAACUUGCUUAAACCUUAUCAUUU
rnacentral:rRNA from 1 species